AUGCAGGGGACAGAGUGCAUCUUGCAAGAACUUAAUCUAUUUCUUUGCACGAAGCUUCCGGCCGGAAGCCCCACUUUACAUUUUGCAAAGGAUGUGACUCGCAGUGUAGCAACACUGUUUCAGUGACCUCUCCUGCUUACAUUGAUCGCCAAUGUCUUUGCCGUAUGUGCCAUCUUGCUGCUAUCUGAUCAGUGUCAUCACCACGCCGACGCUUGCCGUUGUUAGAUCUAUCAACAUGCGUCCAUUGCUCCAUUACGUUGAUUUCUUUUUUUCCAAUAUAUGUUGCACAAGGCUCUAGGAGCCAGGAUUCUUAUGACUGAUGUCGUACUACUUAUGCUGGUUUGCGGGCUAUAAUUCUAGAAUUUCUUCUCAAGACAUGAAAUGUUUGAAUUAGCAGAAAGAAUGAGCUAUUGGGUCACAUGUUAAUGAGUUAUGCAUUAA